rnacentral:rRNA from 1 species
UCCCAGUUCGAAUUGAAGGCUGAAAUUCGCCUUCAUGAAGUCGGAAUUGCUAGUAAUGGCAGGUCAGCAUACUGCCGUGAAUACGUUCCCGGGCCUUGUACACACCGCCCGUCACACCAUGAGAGUUGGAGAUACCCGAAGCCUGUGAGCUAACUUUUAGAGGCAGCAGUCGAAGGUAGAAUCAAUGAUUGGGGUGAAGUCGUAACAAGGUAUC